CCUUCGAUAGCUCAAUUGGUAAUGCGGGGGACUUUAGAUUUAUAAUUGUGAUCCCUAGGUCGCUGGUUCGAAUCCGGCUCGAAGGA
rfam:Nematostella vectensis strain CH2 x CH6 NEMVEscaffold_285_Cont22398, whole genome shotgun sequence.